UGGCCUAGAGUAGCUUCCACUGCUCACC
rnacentral:piRNA from 1 species